rnacentral:misc_RNA from 1 species
GUGACACUCUCACUUUCUGUCUUCGUUAUCUUUAUUUCCACUCCCGUUGUCCAAGCUCAACUUCAUUCAUACUUGGUUAUAAUAUUGAUCGGACUGCAUUUUAACAAGGUAUUCUUCAUUUCAAGGCGAACCUUAGUCUUCAGGUUACCAGCCCGCUGCCCCCAUUACGUUAUGUGAUCCCAUAGUUAGUUCAAUAGAUCCGACUCCCCACAGGUGAGUGCUCAUAUUGCUUUUUUUUAUUAAGUGCUCGUUCUUAUUUUACGUAUUUCUUUUAUUCUUUAUAUAUAUAUAAUUUUCUCCAAGUUUAUAUUGCGCUAAAGAACACGAAGAAGGUCAUUCUCGAGUUUACUUCCGUGUUGACCAGUCCAUUCUUUUUGUUAAUCUUUGAACGUAAGUCUUCUAGUCCCGAGUAACAUAUAAGUAGUCGGAUAAAAUGUAGGUAACUGUAUCUUAAGGGUCUCUUUAAAAUAAUGAAAGGUCUGAAUAAUAAGUCAGGAAAAUAGUAAGGCCGAAUCACUAGAAUAAUGCACAAGACAAUUAAGUAAGACGUCACAAGGCAGAGUAAAACCGAACCUUAAGAUAGAUAAAUGGGAUAGAUCGGGUAUCAAAAGGUACUGGUAAGGCGACCACAUAGGAAGGUCGGAAAUUCGGUUUGGUAUCUCCUGACUAGUUACAAGGUACCAAUGAGUUAAAAGAAGCCUUAUUCCGAGCCCCGGCAUCUUUAAAUGCCAGAACCCUUAGUUCUAGGAUCUCGUGACGGGUAGCUGUAAUCAAGUUUCGAGAGAUCGGAAAAGUCCUUAUCCGGUUCUCAACCUAAAAUUCUAAUAAAUAUUUAAAAAGGAGAUCGGAGGAGAGUUCUUAUCC